rnacentral:snRNA from 1 species
GGAUGGGAGGGCAAUCUGACUACGGCAUCUGUCACCCCAUUGGUCGCCGGGUUGAUUCCGCUGAUCUGCCUGGCAAGGCAGGUGUCCCCUUCCUCCCUCACCGCUCCAUGUGCAUCCCUCCGCUGCACGCUCGGUCGAAGAGGAUGACCAUCCCCGAUAGAGGAGGACCGGUCUUCGGUCAAGGGUAUACGAGCAGCUGGGCUCCCCUGCUAGAACCUCCAAACGAGCUCUCAAGAAAAAAAAAAUGUGUUAAGCUGAUUUUGCAAAAGAGUUACCUAUUCUUUCACACACACACACAAAAGAGGGAGUUGGCUGU